GCAGAAGGCUGGACGGCCGCUUUCAGAGGGUCACCCUUUGCGAGAGGAAAGUCCGGACUCCAUAAAGCAACGGUGCCGGGUAACGCCCGGGCGGGGGAACCCGACGGAAAGCGCCACAGAAAUGAAACCGCCUGCUUUUGCAGGUAAGGGUGAAACGGUGGAGUAAGAGACCACCGCGCCCCUGGCAACAGGGGUGGCAAGGCAAGCCCCACCGGGAGCAAUGCCAAAUAGGGUCCCCGCGCGGGCAGGUCGGAGCAAUCCGAAACCGCCGCUAGGCGCGCUUUAGCCGAGAGGGACCGGGUUGGCAGCUAGAGGUGCAUAGCAAUGUGCAUCGCAGAUGAAUGGUCGUCGAUCCCGGAGCCAUGGCUCCGGGGGGACAAAAUCCGGCUUACAGGCCUUCUGCGCAG
rnacentral:RNase_P_RNA from 2 species